ensembl:lncRNA
AAUAAGAAAAAAGAAAAAAGAAAAAAAAAGGAAAGGAAGGAACAGUGUAAGCAGCUGAAGGGAGCAGCUCCCAUCCUUCCCUCUAUGCCUCUCUGGAAGAAGUGGUGCCCGUGCAAGGAAGAGGCAGCUGUAUGGGACCAGGUGGCAGCAGCAGGCCUUGGAGCUGACCCAGGGUCCAUGAUGGAUGGGAAUAGCUCACAGCAGCCGAACCAUGAGCGGCGGAACGCUUUGCUGAACGGGAGUUUUCAUCAUACUGCCACGCUGCUUGACCUCCAAAUGCGCCGACACGCUGCAGUAUCACUUAGACUGGGAAAGAAUGUUGCUGCGCUAUUGCCCAGGAGAUUCAGGAGGAUCCCAUUACAGCUAGGCGGUGCCUGUGUGCAAUGGCAAAAACCAAGUAUGUAAGAAAACACAGUCUUAAUGUAAAGACCCACUGCAGUCCAUUAGACAAACCCAGUGUUUAAAGAUGAUAAUACAAAUGCCCGCUGUCAUCCAGGCACGCUCUUUGCUUCUUAAAUGCUGUCCGCAGCAUGGCCUGCUUCCUUCUCAUGCAGUUAUCACAGCUCUGAAUGAUGCACUAAAAUUAUUCUUUGCAACCCCUGUUUUCUUUCUUUUUUUCCUUUAAAAUUAUAUACUACUAACCGAUCAGAGGAAUGCUGCUGGUUUUAAACUUGAAGACAUAAAAAAAAUCCUAAAGAUAUAUAUAUAUAAAAAAUCCAGGCUUGCAGGGCAGAUACCUUUUCACUUAAUCAGCUGCUACACCUGGAAGUAAAAAGGAUUCUCCACCCAAUGAUUUGGCCUCUUCCUCAACUGUCUGGGCUGGGGAGAUGAACCUUGCUCCUCCCUGUGCCUCCCUGCAAGGCGCCUGGGCUGUGCUACCCGGCAUAAGAGCUGUCGCUUGGUUUUAUAGACUGCAAAGUGUCCCAAGGGUGGACCGGCCCAAUCGUUUCCUGGCUAGUAGGAAACAAAGGAAGGAAGGCCCUUUUUCUGGAGUCAGUUCAUCAGCAUCGAUCAGUGGGAUGCUGUGCUAUGAUGCACCACCAGGGAAGGAGGGCUCCGAGGGGCUGCAGGCAGGAACAAAGAGUACAGCUGCGUUCACAUUCUGUCCCUUCACAUUCUGUCCCAGGUGAGGCAGAAAACGGUACGUCUACCCCUCAGUUUCUCUCCAGGUCACCUUCUAAAUAAAGCUGUAGCAGUUUGCUAUCCUGUUAUUUUUGCUAUGGCAGAAAGCAAGAACAAAAGGGUAAGCACUUUGCUUGUGCCUGUGCAGCAAGUCAGUCACUGGCAAAGAAUCCACCACCAUUUCAUAUGCAGCUUUAUAAACAGACCUUUUUGAACACAACAAGAAUAGAUGGCCUCCUCUUUGCCCUCAGUGAGAGCAGAAGUGCGCCGUAUCAGUUCUUUAUUCCUGUACAGAGCAGUAGUGCUUGCUCUGUGCAUCCUGUAAAGUGAUUGGCCUGAAAUACAGCAUUUAAGGGAUAAAAAAACAGUUACCUUAAUGCUCUGCUAUCUAAUGCUCUGUCCACACAGGUUGGCAGCAUCCUCAACUAAGGCUGAUAGUGGUACGGAUCUCUGCAACAUAGUCUCUGUGAAAUGCACACAAUAGCCCAAUAAAAUACUGACAUAGGUGUAGGCAGACAUAAAAGGGCCAUAUAUUCAAAAUGCAUGAGUCUUGAUUUGCACCAAUAAAAGCCACAGGGCCAUGCAUCUUACAGGAAGCUGUAUAUGCAUAAUUCAUACCAGUGAACGUAAAUGGCUGCUUGCAUAUGCAUAUACCUGUUUUCAUAUGCCUUUACCAAUACACUGGAGUAAUCACUUGCCCAUAAAUGCACAUGCAUCUUCAGAUAUGAGAUUGGAACAUGUCCCCUGGCAUCUUUACACAUAUUUCUGUUUCUUCUCCCUGCUCUCUCAAUUAUGCCUUGUAAGAGGUCCCCAUAAAUCUCCACCUUUCUGCUGCGUUUUUUCCUCCCACACCCUUUUUAUAACCAGACCUGCAGAUCUUUGUUAUUUCUGUGGCAUUUCCAACACUGCUUUCUGUAAAGUCAUGUUGGAUUUGUUUAUUUUUAACUGGGUGACAAUGUGGCUAUCAUUUCACUCUUGGUCCCAGGCCAUGCCCUGACCACUUUGCCCUACUUCCUGAGGACAAGCCAGCCCCACACUAGAUGUCUGCCUCCCUGGAUUCCCGUCACUUGAGCGUGCCUUGAUGUUGUGGGAAGGGCUGUGGUCAGAAGCAUGAAGAUGAGGAGCAUCCAGCAUGCAGGUAGCAGCAGCACUGCUCUCAGGGCUGCUGAAGCCUCUCUAGUGAUGCCUUCCCCCUGUUUAUUUCUGGCCAGAGAUAUACUCUUUCAUACAUGUUUUGUAUAUCCCUUAGCAUCAUUUUGUGCUUGCUUUUCAAUGCUAAAAGUCAAAAUAUACAGUGAAAAUCCAGGGCACACGCUUCCAGAGAGGCUAUGGAUGCAAUCAGAGAAUCACAGAAUAAUAAAACAUCUCAAGUUGGAAGAGAGGAGGACCAUUGAGUCCAACCGCUGGCUCCACACAGCACCACCCAGAAUCCAAACCCUGUCUCUGAGAGCAGUGUCCAAACGCACCUUGAACUCCCAACAGCUUGGGGCUAUGCCCACCGCCCUCUGGUGCAGACCCUGUCCCUAACCCCCACUGCCCCUCCCCUGACACAGCUCCAUGCCAUUCCUUCGGGCCCUGUCGCUGUCACAGAUUGCAGAGCUCAGCGCUGCCCCUCCACUCCCUGUGAGGAGCUGCAGCCACCAUGAGGCCUCUGUUAAUCUCUUUGCUCUGGGCUGAACCAACUCAGGGACCUCAGCCACUCCUCAUGCACCUUACCUUCCAGACCAUUCCCCGUCUUCAGAGCCCUCCUUUGGAUGCUCUGUGACAGUUUUAUGUCCUUCUUACGUGGUUGCACCUAAACCUGCACCCUGUGCUUGAUGUGAGACUGCACUAGCAGCCUUGCCGAGAGAUGAGUGAAGGAACAAAUCUCUGCCUCUCACCAGCCCCAGUGUUUUGAUAUAGUCCCUAAGCACAGAUGUCUGCCAGUGGCAUAGAGUGCCCGGCAUUGUUUCAGCCAUCCACACUCACUAAGCUGUCAGCUCCCUGUGCCACUGGGUCAUCUGGGCAUACGGGUCUUAUUCAAAUCCCCAUUCUGUCAAAUGAAGUCAGAGUGCAAGCAAUGUUUAUACUGGGGUUUGGCUCUCUAUCAGCAGUGCUUGCUCCAGAACAGGCUUGCCAGCUACCCCUCCCAGGCUUUUGGAUACAGUUGGGUUGGCAGAUCCUGUGCACUGCUUCACUGUGUUGCAAAAACCAUGAGAAUGAGAGGUUUUUGGCCCCAGACUGGUGGUCCUAUGGCUGGGUUCACGGCAUCUGCAGGGACGGGUGGCUGUGAUACAGGAUGAGGGAACAAAAGCCGAGGAAAAGAAGGAAAUCCUCCAGUCUCCAGUACAGAUGCUGAGGAAUGUGUGCCAUAAACCAAACCCAGAUGUCUUGACUGAUGAGCAAGCGCUAUCUUUAAUCUCUUAUCUUUCCAGCUUUGAGUUUCAUCAUCAUGCUAAGCGCCCCUAUCCUUACACUAGUCUAAUGAUUACUUUCUCCAAAGGGUUGAGGCGUGAUUCAGAAGCAGAAUGGUGACUCCUCACAUCAGAUUGAGUUACCGUCUGUCUCACACACGCUUUAGCUACAAGCUGCUAAAUAGCUUCCACGUCUGAAAAACACAGCUGGCACCCAGCUUCAAAAACACCGCUGCAGCCACCAGCAAGUAGGGGCACCCCCAAAGUCUCAGCCAGGAAGGUGGCUGCUCCAUGACACCCCCCUGCCACUGCCUCCUCUGAGAUCCUGGGAGCCAGGAACCUGCCCUGCUGGCAAAAAGUGACUGAAGAGGCUGAGACAUGCAUGCAUCCCCCUUCUCUGAAUGAACAGCAGUUCAGCUGAAGAAAUAUUUUUAAAAGCUGUUCCUUCCAUUUCUUAUUCUCAGCCAGGAAUACCAACAGAUGUGGCAGCAGGGGAGCUCCAAGGUGAAGAUGGAGACAUCCUAGCUGGGGCCCCCAGGCUGCCUCACUCACUUCCCCCUGGGAUGUUGCCUGGAGGCCCCAAGGCACAACCCCUUCUGCUCUCCCUGCAGGUUCUGUAGUGCCUGCUCUCCCUGCAGGUUCUGUAGUGCCACCUGUAUCACCUGGUGGGGAUCCUUCCCCACCAUCUGUCUGCCAGGAGGAGGGAGAUGUCACAUGGGAGCUUCAUGUUUUGCUCUCAGUAGAGAAUUAGCCAUGCUUAUUUGACUGAUAAAUAAUGAGACUUCAUUCAUUAAUGUCAUAGGCAGCUCCGAGGAAAACAGCUGAUGCUGCUGGGACGGAUGCUGCUCCCCUGAGUCAGGCCACCUUUGGCCUUGGGCAAUGUUGAGGGUAAUGCUGUGCUUGGUUUCAAAGGCAGCAUGCAGUAACAGGAGCAGCACUGUACAGUGGCCUUGGCUAAUGUGUCUCACACUGGGCAUGAAUUACAUCCAACCCUGAGAUCAGACUCCUCCUCGCCAAGAGAUCAUACUGCCAGUAAUGCUCUUAAGAGAGGAGUGAUUGCAGACUCUGAGCCAUGAGGCAACUAUGACCAAACUCAAAUCAUGCACUAAAUCAAUUUAAAUAGAUCUAUGUAACCUGUGCAAGCAUGUGCAUAGAACUUACCCAUAUAUUGACAUGUUUUCAGUAAUUUCAGUCCUUGGCAGCUGAGUCUGCCUAUUUCAGCCUAGCCUCUCUAGCAAAGCUGCUUUAGCUUUGAGAUCUUUUUUACCCAUACAUCGUGGGUAAAACAAGCGCUUCCUCUCCUGUGUAAGGAUGUUCCCCAACUGGAUAGAAUGGCCUGCUGGCAGGGCUUUUCUGCCUGAGGAACUCGUGCUGCCAUGGAAGUGCUGGUGUGGGAUGGCAGCUACUCACAGUCCCAGCAGCCACAGCCACCCCUCAGCAUCUGGGGACAGGUGUCACUUCUGCAGUGUUUGGUUAGCACAACCACAGCCACAGGGAAUGAACUGUGCCACUGUACGGUACCUCCCUACACUAUGCUCAUGUCCACAAGAAAGGCUGUAUUCAAACAAGUGUUUGAGCAAAAGAGAGAUCAAGCCCCAAGCCUAACCAACCAAAGCAGUUAUAUUGCUACAAAACCUCUGUGAAAUCAGAUUAGAACAACCUAUUUCAGCUCAGCUUGAAUCACAGCUUUCCUGGGUUUGGCCAAAUUGAAUAAAUCUGCUUCAAAUGGGUUGUCGCACUGAUUUCAUGCUGCCUUAAUUAAACGGUUUCAAAUCAAGGUGACAGUUAAAUCAGUGCAAGAUAAUGUGUAGAAACAAAAUUAUUAUAAUCAACACAUAAGAAGCAGAAGUAAAUCUUUUUGCUGCAUUAACACAGGUCAUGUAAUGGACUGCUAUACAAAGCAUAACAAUUAUUAGAACUGAAGAUAACAUUGUACUUCAAAACUCACAUGGCUUCCAUGACCAAAAACAACUUGCUUAUUUUUAAUCCAGUAACACUGGCUGAUGUAAGGAAAAUGCACUUUCCUCCCUACAACACAAGACCUUCUGAAAUUCUUAUUGUGGCUGCAACAGUUGGUGUGGUAGUUCUCCUCAUCCAUUCCACACUGUUGCCUGACGCAAGCUGCAUCGUGCUGCCCCAACAUGGGAUGCUUUCUCACCAGCUGUGCUGCCUGAUGAUUUCUUUACUACUGUCCUCCAGAAGCAGGCAAGCUUUUCCUGUCAUGUCCCGACAUCCUGAAGAAGACGGGAAACCUAUUGGAUCAUCCCAUAAGAAAGCUUUCUUCUAAUUAGUAAUUUGAAAUACGUUUCAAAAGUGGUGAAAUCCUAUUGCUAAAAAAUGCCACUGACUGCUGAUGCUCUGGAUAGCACAUAUCCAAACACAGACAGGACAGAGCAAUUAUGUUUUCUCUUUGGGUACCAGACUUCUGUUCCUCUACAAGACACAAGCACUCAGAGUCUAUUGUUUUAUUUAUUUAUUUUUAGCUCCCAUAUCUCUAAUACUGUUUUGAGAAAAUUAUUCCCACUUCUUCUCGAGGGGAAUGUAUUUACUUUUUUAGUGAAUGGCAGUACAUUUUGCCUGUACAAAAGGGAGCUCCCCCAGAUCAGGAUGUAAAGACUAACUUUGACAACUCCACGAGACAGUCUUGCUUUGCCUGGCGUGCCAGGUUUAUUUUACAUAAUUUAUAUUUCAGAUAUCUUCAAAUAUUUCCUCUGCUUUGGUUAAGCUACUGACACACGUAAUGCAUUUUUGCAUUUUUGGAUGGAAGCAGAACAUUCCCGAGUAGAGAGGGUGCCAGACUGAAAAGCUGUUUUUAAAAAAUCCUUAAUAUUAUUAGACUAUUAGUAGUGAAUGAUUCUGGCAGUUUAAUUGCUAUUUCAUAAUACUCCGUGUUUACUUUUUGGAUUCUGCCUAGAUUAUGUAAACAGACACCAGGUUAAUUUUUACUUGCAGCUAAACUUUAUUUUCAACCACCACUGCCAAUCUUGGCUCCUUUGUGCUAACACAGUAUUUUGGUGCGAGUAUUUGUAAGCAUAACAAAGAUUGUGAAAACCUAAAC